GAAUGGGUGACUAGUGGCAGAGUGAGGGAGGGAAGGGGUGACUAGUGACAGAGCGAGGGGAUGACUGGUGACAGAGUGAGGGGGGGGUGACUGUCACUAGUCACCCCAUCCCUCUUUCUGUCACUAGUUACUCCCUCCCUAACUCUGUCACUGUGUCACCCGCUCCCUUCCUCUGUCACUAGUCACCCCCUCCCUCACUCUGUCACUAAUCACCCCCUCUCUCCCUAGUCACCCCCUUCCUCACUCUGUCACUAAUCACCCCAUCC
rnacentral:sRNA from 1 species